CCUUCCGCUGCGAUAUUUAUUUCUCAAUUCUGAUUCUGAUCUAUAUUGUCCUUGUCUGCCUCAUGUGACUUGAAUCAUGAUCUAGUUUUUUUUCCUCUCGCUGGAUUUGCUGGUUUAAUUUACGUCUUGCCCUCCAUCGCAGAUCCCCCGCGCCCCGAUGCCACAGGCCUCCACCACGCCAUUGUGCUUGGCCACCACCGAUUCCGUCGAUGUUCGCCAUCCGAUCGAUCCAGAUGCGUGGUCACCCAUCCCUGGCUGACGAGCUUGUGACAUGGCUGACGAGCUGGUGGCCAUGAGCAGAUGCACGUCGACGUGCAACAACACCGAAAUGCCGAAUCAAGCAUCCAGCAGAGAGGACAAGUGCCGCGGCCCCUGCCCUCAGAUCGGAGACCCUUUCCACGAGAGCAUCUUUGGCGACCAUCAACAUUUGUGUGCGAUGUAGCUCAAAUUGGGAUGUCGAUUGUUGCAAUCUGUAGCUUCGUGAUCCCUUUUCCUUCACGCGUCCUAAAUCUCAUGUGACUGAAGUUACCUUUGUUUUCAGGCGAUAGGAGUUAGCUUUGCCAUUCAGGCUAUAGGAGUUUACUUUAGGCAGCAGUUCAUGGAUUUUUUUCUCACGAUGUUUGUUUGGGCAAUUUGAGCUAUUCGACGUAGUGUCAAAUCUUGGUCAUUUCUUGAUAGAUCGUAACUAUAACAGUUUAUCUAGGUUGGAACAUUUUGUUCUCAUUGCGACGUGUUCAUAUUGUUCAUUUAGUUAACAAUGCUCUGUUCCAAUGCAGCAGGCUCCACCAUUGUUGCGGCGACGUAUCUCGUUCAUGGAGGGGGAUGACUACUUGAACAUAGAUUUCCAAAGCGCCAGAGUUCUAGCAUAUGCUAUCUAGUCCCUAACCGUGUCACUGUUUUUCCUUGAUCCCUCAUGAAUUCAGCUUCUCAGGAGUUUGUCCACCCAGAUGUUGAUGCCUAGAGGAAUAUGAUAGCAAGACUUCUGACAGCAACAUCACAGUUCAUCUUUUCAGAAAUUGUUUGCAUCGCUGCUUCAGAUACAAUGAAAAGAGAACUGGCUGCACACCUUUUUGUUUAGAUGGCUUCAAAAAAACUCUGCUGAUCCGAAGAAGUUUGAAUUGUUCUUCUGAUUCCAGAACAUACAAAUUGGUGAAAGCAUUGUGGAAGUAUUACUGCAACAAUUUUGCACGAUAACAUUAGUUGUAGUUACCACCAUUCUGUUUGAUACAUAUUGGUGUUUACUCUGCACCUUGCCUCUGAGCAGUGUCAAUGUUUAAUGUAUCCAAUAUCAGAGUUCAUCUCUUCAGAAAUCAAAAGUGUUACUGCUUUGGCUACAAGA